rnacentral:rRNA from 1 species
GUCCCGAAGGGGCGGCAUACCGGAUAAUGUCGUUUGUCCCCCGGCGACCGACCAAAGAUUCAUCGGCGCAAGAGUGGCCUAUCUCCUAUCACCUUGUUGGUGAGGUAAUGGCCCACCAAGGCUAACACGGGUUGCGGGACUGAGAGGUUGGCCCGCCCAUCCGGACUGAGACACUGCCCGGACCCCCCGGGGGGCUGCAGUAACGGAUAUUGGGCAAUGGGCGAAAGCCUGACCCAGCGACGCCGCGUGUAGGAGGAAGUCUCUCGGGAUGUAAACUACUGUCCCGGGGAAGAAAGUGCGUUUCGGCCCAUUGAUCUCUCCCACAGGAAGUCCCGGUUAACUUCGUGCCACCACCCGCGGUCAGACGAAGGUGGCCAGCGCUGUUCGGCAUUACUGGUCUUAACGCGUGUGUCGGCGGACCAGUAAGCGUUUUGUGAAAUCCCUCGGCUUAACCGAGGAAUUGCUUGCCCAACUGCUUUUCUUGAGGCAAGUAGGGGUGCACGGAACUCUUGGUGGAUCCGGUGGAAUGCGUUCAUAUCUACAGGACCGCCGGCGGUGAAGACGGUGCACUGGGCUUGUACUGACGCUGAUACACAAAAGCCCUGGGAGCCGA